rnacentral:lncRNA from 1 species
AAAAACUAAAUACUACCUAAGAUUGUCUCGUUUAAUAAAAGAAGGCCGAAGACGGUCCCUUCCUUCUUCCCUCUUCUCUUUUCUCUCUGCAAAAGCCAUUGAAACCUAAUGUAUGAAACCCAAAUUCUUCUUCCAAAUUCCCAAAUUAAAUCUUUCACUUUUGUUUAAUCACAAGAUGUGAACCUACUUUAUGAAACCCAAAAGCCCUAACACCAUUUGUAUUUUAAGAUUGUACUCAAAUAAGGUAAUGUAUUCAAACCCCAAAUCCUUUUGGGUGUUAAAUGCAGUUAGCAAGAGUGACUAUUUCAUCACAUUCACCUCUAAUUUAUUUAACCCAUUUGAAAUCUACAGGAGUAGAAAGCAAUUUUUCCAACAAUAUCAUCGUGUAAAGCCCUUCUCGGUGUUGACGAUCUCUUUGCUGGGUAAGUUAUUUUUAUUGAAAUUCUAAACUUUUUGGUGAUUGCAUGUUUGGUAUUCCUCUCAAAAUUCUGAAAUGAGAUGUUGUGUGGUAUGGGUCUGUUAUUUUUCCUGAUAUUUUUCGACAAAAUUCCAUAGAGCAGUUUUUUACGCGAUUCUUUGUUGUGUGGUAUGCCCUAAGUUUCUUAUUUCUGAGAGUGAAAAAAACCACUGCCUUAUGGGUAGAUAUGAUACUGCUCUUGCUGCACAAACAAUUGAUUUUCUGCGCAAGAAAAUCUCUGCCUUAUGGGUUUUAGUUGUUGGACUUUUCAAGAGUUAUGUCUGUAACUCUUUUCUGAUACAUUGUGUGAUGCUUGGUAUUUUGAUAUGUAUUUUAAUUAGAAGGUUGCCCUAUUGCUUUUUAGAAUUAAAACCAAAAACUGCUCUUCUCUGUUCUCACAAAGCUCAAUUGAAGUAUAUUUGGGAAAUAUUUUGUUCUUCAUAGGCCUUCCGAACUAAAAUUAGUAGGUCCACACUGGUCAAGGCAAAAUCGUUAUUAGCAGAAUUAGGCUUAUUUUAUGCACAAAUAUAACACUAUGCUAGGAUAGAGAACAUACAGAGUUGAAACUGGCAGCGGUAGCCUCUUCAGUGUCAUCUUCAGGUAAAAUGCCAAUUUCAACAAGUUCCAGUAGCUCUUUCCUAGAUAUGUUCCAGUCUUGCUCCCUUUGUUCAUCAAAUUUCUACCAAAAAAGCUUGACGUUUUCCACUCCUUACUUUACAGUUCACGCUCAUAAACACUACUAUUUCUGAGCUGGUGCAGUAUAUUAUUAACUAAGUAUUUACUUUUAGCAUAAUCAAACUAAUGUUUUAAACAAUUUUCAGCUUGAAACGGGAAACGGGAAGAACAGAAAUUGAAUUUUAUGUUUAAUUAGUCUUUCCAGUUGGAAGGUUGGGGGCGCGAUUUUCUUUAGCUGCUUCAUAAAUAUCUCCUAUAAAUUCUAUUCCUAAAAACCGGCAAUCGUAGACUGCUUUUGUUUAUCUAUUAUGACGGAUGGAGGGCCCCAAAUCGAGUGGCGGCUGGUUGCCCUUUAAAUUAUGUAGGUAGAAGAAACUAUUAAAUAGAUAAUGAGUAGGUGAAUGAGGGCUGGAAGGAACGAUUGGAAGGAGAACACCAGGAAAGUUAUCUUUAAAAAAAAGAAAAGGAACAAGGCGAGAGUGGGAGGGCAUGAACGAGAAGAAUAGGUCAAUGAGAUAAUAAUCUGCGAGAGGUCAUCUGAUGUUGUUCGUGACAAGGAAAAAGAACUUGCUGUGGGAAUGUUAGCUGUUCUUUCUCCUGGAAACAUUAUCCACGUUACCUUGUAAAACACGUGUUGAUACAUAUAUGGACCAAGAAUAGCUAGUUUUAAUUAGGCGGCGACAACUAUUAUGCAUUUAUAGAUGAGCUUGAUACGGUUCAAGUUUAUGAAGAAUGAAAGAAUCCAGCCCCUUCUCCUCCUUGUCAUCAUCAUUUAUGUUUCUGUCGUAACACAUUGACUUGAUUUCUCGGGUUAAAAUGAGACGUGAGACGCAUUGAUGUUGGAGUUUUUUUUCCCUUCCAUUUGUCGCUUAUGUGAUCCGUGUAUCUGUUGAUUUAUUGUUUUGUCUGGCGUAUCUUUCUUCAGUUUUAUACAUUAAUGCAUUAACAAAUCCUGGGUCGACGGUGAGAGCACUGUUGGCUAUUAAGUGGUGCUUUAUAUGACCUUUAAAGUUAACUUAGGUAUAGAUAGACAAAGGAUCUGUGAAUGAAGCUAAUUAUAUCUAAUAUGUGAGUAUUACGGUUCAUUUUCUAUUUUACAAUUUGGAAAGUACUAAACAACAGUAGCACCUACUUUAGAAAGCUUACAAACUAUAUACGGUUAUUUUGUUUCAUUUGUGAAUUUUAGUGGGUGGCAGUCAUGUCAUUGUGGAAGUGAUCGUAGAAUACUUCAUUGAAUUUUGUUGAUAGUUUGUAUUUGCUAGCUCUUCUUUCUUCAGAAGAGCAUCUACAGAUGUAGAUCAAGAAACAGCUUUUACUUAUACUAUUAUUAGACUUCGUCUUAAGAGCUGCCAGUUGGAAGUGUUUUUGGGAUCAUCAUUUCCUUAUUUAUCACCAAUUGAAAUAUGAUAAUGAAACUAGAAAUUCUGGGGAACUAUAGGCUUCGUAUUAUAGGCUUAUCAUUUUUAAGCCCAUGGUUCAGUAUUAUUAUUGGUUGAUGAUGAUAUCAAAAUCAUACAACUCUUUCAUUCAUAACGUGUUAUUCCUGCAUUUCUUCUUCCUUUUUUGUUCUUUCCAGGGUUAGUCGGGGUUUCUUGCACACAGUCCCUAGAACCUCUUUGAUUAUAUUAGUAAUAGGUACCACCAAAUUAAUUACAACUGAUUUGUUCUCUUGAGCCGAGGGUCUUUCGGAAUCAGCCUCUCUACCCUUCGGGGUAGGGGUAAGGUCUGCGUACACACUACCCUCCCCAGACCCCAUUAGUGGGAUUUCACUGGGUUGUUGUUGUUGUUGUUGAUUUGAUGAGUCAUUUGCCAAUAUAGGGUUGGUAUGGUGCGUUUUAUGAACAGAAUGUGAUUAAAAUAGGUAUGUAAAAAUGAUAAUGGAGAAAUUGUGUGGUGGAUCCACAAUCCCAACAAAUUCAUGUAAUAUUCUUAAAUCACUGAGAUGAGUCGAAAGUUGCAAGAAGAACAUGAACAAAUGGAUGCCGAAUUAAAAAGUAACAUGGAACAAGAGUGCAAAGGAAGUUGGAAGAGAAACUUGAGCACGUGAAUACGGAAGUAGACAACCGGAUCAGUGUAGAAGUAGCCAAGAGGAUUCAAGAACAACUUGCUGCUAUCAUGACUGGAAUGCAACAGGUGAUCUACUCUUAAUGUUUUUGUACUCUUCUUACUCUUCCUUCAGUGUAUUUAGUUCACUAUAAAAUGUCAACCAACACAUAUGUAUCUAGCAUUAUACAAUUGAUAUUUAUGUUACCAUCAGCCCUUUUUUAGUUCAUUACUGCCAUCAGUCCAAUAUUUCUAAAAGGCUAAUAUUAGUUCAUUUCUUGCGCUCAUUGUGCUGGUUCGUGUUUGUCAAUGCUAGACUUGAGAUUCUUUUUUGGAUAAGUCUUCAUAGUAUUAGCAAAAAGCUAGCCAUUUCUCCUUCUCCUAUGUUUUCAAACAACUUUGGUUGGAUUUUGGAGGAUCCAAAUAUUCCUACAGUUGGAUAGUUAUAGAUAAAUUUACUUUCUACACCAAAGUAGUUGCAUAUAGCUUUUGCAAUUCGAUGUAGUACCCUUGUUGAAGGCUAUAUAAACAUUUUGUUGAUGCUAUAUAAACAUUGUGUUGAUCCAGUAUCAUUGAAGGCUAUAUAAACAGACCUACUGUGUUGCUGCCUUUACUGUGAUGCUUUCAAACUAUUCUGUCUUCAUUUGCUGUAGUUCCUUGAAAUUGUUCCAGAACCUUGAAGAGUUCAGCUAUCCUACUUUAGAAAUCUUCUGAAGUUAAUGUUCUUAUAUGUAUCUUUUUUCACCUUGAUCUUCUAACAAUGUGAAGUUAAGUUAAUGUUCCAGAACCUUGAUUGUUAAUGUUCUUAUAACAAUCUUCAAGCUCUAACAAUGUGAUCUUCUAUUUGUUUCUUUAAUAAUAGGGACAAGGUUCUUAAACAGUGGUGACAAUGAAGGAGGAGCUUGAAGCUAAGGCACUCAAUGUUUUACUUUUUGGUUAUAUAUGACAACGAAGUAUUACGUAGUAUAUAUAUGCGGAGGAACUUAAAGGUUAAGGCACUCAAUAUUUUGCUUUUUGGUUAUAUGUAUAUGCGUACAAUGAAAAUGAAGUAUUACAUAGUGUAUAUGCGGAGGAGCUUGAAGCUAAGGCACUCAAUAUCUUGCAUUUUGGUUAUAUGUAUAUGCGUACAAUGAAAAUGAAGUAUUGCAUAGUAUAUAUGUAAUUGAACUUUUAGUAAUGGAAGUGUUUAGUAUUUGGUUUAGGAAAU